GCUUACGGCCACCAUCCCUGAGCACGCCUGAUCUCGCUGAUCUCGGAAGCUAAGCAGGGUCGGGCCAGGUUAGUACUUGGAUGGGAGACCGCCUGGGAAUACCAGGUGCUGUAAGCC
rnacentral:rRNA from 1 species